rnacentral:rRNA from 1 species
GGACAGAAAGACCCUAUGAAGCUUUACUGUAACUUGAGAUUGAAAUUGGACUUUACUUGCGCAGUAUAGGUGGGAGGCUUAGAGAUCAUUCUUGCGGGAAUGAAGGAGCCAUCAGUGAGAUACCACUCUGGUAAUGUUAGAUUUCUAACUUUGAAUCAUGAUCUGGUCAAAGAACAGUUUCAGGCGGGCAGUUUGACUGGGGCGGUCGCCUCCCAAAUGGUAACGGAGGCGCGCAAAGGUUCCCUCAGGCUGGUUGGAAAUCAGCCGCAGAGUGCAAAAGCAUAAGGGAGCUUGACUGCAAGACUGACAGGUCGAGCAGGGACGAAAGUCGGCUUUAGUGAUCCGACGGCACAGCGUGGAAUGGCCGUCGCUCAACGGAAAAAGUUACUCUAGGGAUAACAGGCUGA